UCUCUAUAUCAUUAUGCUGAAAUCUAUCUCUUUGUUACAGGCUUUCAGAAGCUGCUGGAUCCUCUUCACUCUGGCUUGCUGAUAGUUUUAUCUUGCAGCAUUAUUCUGAACGUUGCUCUCAUUUGUAUAAGAUGUAAACUGACCUGUACACACUGUGCAGAUGAAAAGAACAGUGAUAUAUCAAAAGUGGAAUGGUCACGCAAGCAAUGCCAUGACGAGGACACACUGAAUUACGCUGCCCUGAACCUUAAGAAGCCAAAACCCAGGAGACAGAAGAAAGACGGGAAUAAUGACACUCUGUAUUCUGACCUCCGCUACAGAGAUUAUGAAUAAAGAUGCUUCUCAUUCAUGUCAGUCACACAGAGUGUUCAGGGUGUAGCUUUAAUAAUGUUCAGAGGAGGGCAGGGGAGCCAGUGCUUCUGAGACUGAAUCACGGGAUUUUACGGAGCACCGGUGCUGAGUUUGGUGUCAGUGUGUUUGGGGCGCAUUUUUACUGGAAGUGCAAAUGUUCAAGCCA